GGUCCCGUAGCUCAGUUGGAUAGAGCAACAGGCUUCGAACCUGUGGGUCGGGCGUUCGAGUCGCUCCGGGAUCG
rnacentral:tRNA from 1 species